AUCGCGCUGUGUUCGUGACACAGACCCUGUUCAGAGGAUCUGUUCGGGCCAGCCAUGAACCUAUUGGGGCUAACAGGAAGAAAGUCGAAAUAAAUCCCAUGACGCUGACGUCAUGAGGAAUGCAGGGCAAACACAAAUGAGCAGAGAAAUGAUUGACCCGGCGACCACACAGGCACAGCCCAGAGAGAAACAUGGCUUCUCUGUGUUGCUGUUGCUUCUCUGGGGAAAACGCCGAUGACGAGAGGCGUCCGUUGCUUCAACCUGCAGCAUCCACACAAUUUACCACGACUGAAUCCGCCAGACAGAACCGGCCAGCCCCCUCUGGGGACACAGCUACGACACACGGCGGUAGACUGGAGAUGAGGAGGGUCGGCCUGUCAGAGUUGGACCAGAGGUUCUCUGACGUUGCGGAGACCUUUAACGAGCAGCGGGAACACUACGAGGCCCUGGCACGAUGCGUCGCCCACCUGCGGCAGUCCUACGGCUGUAGCCAUGACAACACACUUCUUCUCUCCGAUUGCGUGAAUAAGAUCAGAGAUGAGCACGACCUACACUACAGGAUCAGCCUCCAGAUGAAGGGCUAUGACUUCCACCUGUCUGCGGCCCCGGUGGAGUCCGCGGAGGUCCGGGAUAACGAGCCACCCCCUCAACGCCUGCUGUCGGCCCAGGACGAGCUGAGGGCCGUGUCUCAGGCCGCAAAGAUGACCGUCUCGCUGGGGACCAAGCUCCAGGAGCUGAUUGGUUGGCUGCUCCGGAGCGAGGAAAAGCUGGCCGGCCAGGUGGCCAAAGCGGCGCCAAACUACCAGGAGCGGAGGCGGCUGGAGGAGAACCUGCAGGCCUGCUUGAGGGAGAUGAGGAGGGGGAAGGAGCUAUCGGUGGGAUACAAACAGAGAGCUGGGGAGGUCCUCAAUGAGGCUGCUCAGCUAGCCGGAGUGGAGCCUUAG
rnacentral:lncRNA from 1 species